rnacentral:rRNA from 1 species
UGGGGAAUAUUGCACAAUGGGCGAAAGCCUGAUGCAGCAACGCCGCGUGAGUGAUGAAGGCCUUCGGGUUGUAAAGCUCUGUCUUCUGGGACGAUAAUGACGGUACCAGAGGAGGAAGCCACGGCUAACUACGUGCCAGCAGCCGCGGUAAUACGUAGGUGGCAAGCGUUGUCCGGAUUUACUGGGCGUAAAGGAUGCGUAGGCGGAUACUUAAGUCAGAUGUGAAAAUCCCGGGCUUAACUUGGGAACUGCAUUUGAAACUGGGUAUCUAGAGUGCGGGAGAGGAUAGUGGAAUUCCGAGUGUAGCGGUGAAAUGCGUAGAGAUUAGGAAGAACACCAGUGGCGAAGGCGACUUUCUGGACCGUAACUGACGCUGAGGCAUGAAAGCGUGGGGAGCAAACA